UACGUAGGCAGCAAGCGUUGUUCGGAAUUACUGGGCGUAAAGGGCGCGUAGGCGGCCUGCUAAGUCAUACGUGAAAUCCCUCGGCUCAACCGGGGAACUGCGUGUGAUACUGGCGGGCUUGAAUUCGGGAGAGGGAUGCGGAAUUCCAGGUGUAGCGGUGAAAUGCGUAGAUAUCUGGAGGAACACCGGUGGCGAAGGCGGCAUCCUGGACCGAGAUUGACGCUGAGGCGCGAAAGCCAGGGGAGCAAACGGG
rnacentral:rRNA from 1 species